GAUGAACGCUAGCGAUAGGCUUAACACAUGCAAGUCGAGGGGCAGCGAGGGUAGCAAUACCUGUCGGCGACCGGCGCACGGGUGAGUAACGCGUAUGUAACCUGCCCGCAACAGGGGGAUAACCCGGCGAAAGUCGGACUAAUACCGCAUAAAACAGGGGUCCCGCAUGGGAAUAUUUGUUAAAGAUUUAUCGGUUGCGGAUGGGCAUGCGUACCAUUAGGUAGUUGGUGAGGUAACGGCUCACCAAGCCCUCGAUGGUUAGGGGUUCUGAGAGGAAGGUCCCCCACACUGGUACUGAGACACGGACCAGACUCCUACGGGAGGCAGCAGUGAGGAAUAUUGGUCAAUGGGCGAGAGCCUGAACCAGCCAAGUCGCGUGAAGGAUGACUGCCCUAUGGGUUGUAAACUUCUUUUACAAGGGAAUAAAAUGAGAUACGUGUAUUUAUUUGCAUG
rnacentral:rRNA from 1 species